rnacentral:rRNA from 1 species
UACGAAGGGGGCUAGCGUUGCUCGGAUUUACUGGGCGUAAAGGGCGCGUAGGCGGAUGUUUAAGUUGGGGGUGAAAGCCCGAGGCUCAACCUCGGAAUUGCCUUCAAUACUGGACAUCUUGAGUACGGGAGAGGUGAGUGGAACUCCGAGUGUAGAGGUGAAAUUCGUAGAUAUUCGGAAGAACACCAGUGGCGAAGGCGACUCACUGGCCCGUUACUGACGCUGAGGCGCGAAAGCGUGGGGAGCAAACAGG